AACGAACGCUGGCGGCAGGCCUAACACAUGCAAGUCGAACGGGACCUUCGGGUCUAGUGGCGGACGGGUGAGUAACGCGUGGGAACGUGCCCUUUGGUUCGGAAUAGCCUCGGGAAACUGGGAGUAAUACCGGAUACGGUCGGAAGACGAAAGAUUUAUCGCCGAAGGAUCGGCCCGCGUUGGAUUAGGUAGUUGGUGGGGUAAAGGCCUACCAAGCCGACGAUCCAUAGCUGGUUUGAGAGGAUGAUCAGCCACACUGGGACUGAGACACGGCCCAGACUCCUACGGGAGGCAGCAGUGGGGAAUCUUAGACAAUGGGGGAAAGCCUGAUCCAGCAAUGCCGCGUGAGUGAUGAAGGCCUUAGGGUUGUAAAGCUCUUUUACCCGAGAUGAUAAUGACAGUAUCGGGAGAAUAAGCUCCGGCUAAACUCCGUGCCAGCAGCCGCGGU
rnacentral:rRNA from 1 species